rnacentral:sRNA from 1 species
UCCACACGAAAACAACUCGGAAGUUCAGUACACAAAAGUAAAAGUUUCCCUACGCCUUAUCCCUGUAAUAUUUCCCAAAUCAGUCACAAAUAAUAUAUCCACACGAAAACAACUCGGAAGUUCAGUACACAAAAGUAAAAGUUUCCCUACGCCUUAUCCCUGUAAUAUUUCCCAAAUCAGUCACAAAUAAUAUAUCCACACGAAAACAACUCGGAAGUUCAGUACACAAAAGUAAAAGUUUCCCUACGCCUUAUCCCUGUAAUAUUU